rnacentral:piRNA from 1 species
UGAUGAACCUACUGCCUUCUGGCUGAA